UUUUGUUUUUGUUUGUUUUCAUUUUCAUGUCGUGUCUGGGCCUACGGUUGGAGAACGAUUGCACCACGACAACCACUUCGGAGUGAUAUUAUCACACUGGAGACAACAGCAACAACAUCAGAAACCCUGAUGUCACUCAGGUUCCCGCAAAGCAUGGACUACAUUAUAAAGCGGCAAUGUGGGAAAGGGAAGUAAUUUGUGAUUGUAGAAGGUAUUGUUUUGAUUCACAGCAUGUUGAACGAACUGUUGUGGAUGUACCUAGAACAUCGCAACUCGGAGUAUCUCUUCUUAUUAUCUCCAACUACUUUAGUUCUGUUUCACUUAUCUUUCAAGUCUCCUCUACUCAA